CCUACGGGUGGCAGCAGUGGGGAAUAUUGGGCAAUGCGCGCAAGCCUGACCCAGCGACGCCGCGUGAAUGAAGAAGGCUUUCGGGUCGUAAACUUCUUUUAAGAGGGAAGAGCAGAAGACGGUACCUCUUGAAUAAGCUACGGCUAACUACGUGCCAGCAGCCGCGGUAAUACGUAGGUGGCAAGCGUUGUCCGGAUUUACUGGGGUUAAAGGGCGUGGAGGCGGGCUGACAAGUCAGAUGUGAAAGCCCGUGGCUCAACCACGGAACUGCAUUUGAAACUGUCGGUCUUGAGUAUCGGAGAGGAAGGCGGAAUUCCUAGUGUAGCGGUGAAAUGCGUAGAUAUUAGGAGGAACACCAGUGGCGAAGGCGGCCUGCUGGACGACAACUGACGGUGAGGCGCGAAAGCGUGGGGAGCAAACAGGAUUAGAUACCCUGGUAGUC
rnacentral:rRNA from 1 species